rnacentral:lncRNA from 1 species
CAAAAUGUAUGUACUUAGAAAACCAAAAUAAAUAGUAAUUUGGGAUGAAGGGAGUAUAAUUGAAGCAGUGACAAGAAUAAGAUAAUUCGUACGACAGACCAGGAUAAGCUCAUGUUGAGAGGAAAUAAUAGCGAAGAGUAUUGAAAUUGGAAGAAGGCGUCAGGAGAAAUUCGAAUACUAACCCCAGUAAAUUAUUUAUAACCAUUCAAACAUUUAUAUUGCACAAGCAGAUGCCGAAGUAUCAAUACAUUGUAAUUUCUGCACAAGCAGAUGCCUCUAAUUUGAAACGUACAAUUUUAUAUGCGUGGGGGCCUACUGUUAUACUAAAUAUUUAUGUGUACGAACUGAAACGUUUCAACGUCUGGAUCCUUGUCCAUAUAUGGACGCCAAUGGCUCUGGCAAUCAACGAGCACCUCUGCACCUACGUGUUCUUUCAUCCUAUCCGUCUUGGAGAUGCACAAUGUGGCCCCUCUACAGCAUUAAUUGUCUUGCAGGCUGCUGCAUUUCAUAUAUUGUGAAUUAACGAAGGCGAGCUCCUCGGCGUCACCAGCAUGGGGCAAGAGGAGGUGACAGAGAUAGAUAACGCUGGUUGUAUUCCUUCGUUCUUAAACGGCAAGGUGAUAAUUCCACUUAGCUAGCUACGAACAUUUGACAAUGAGUAAAAUACAUGGACAGUUCCUAAACAUGUUAUGGGAUAUCAUCUAGGUCCCUAAACUCUCAAAAUGAAUUUUCAAAUCCACGAACUUGUCUCAAGUUGUCAUUCGGGUCCUUCAACUUUCAAUAGACGAUUUCACUUCCCCCGACCACUGCUACACAAAACAUUUGUAGGGGUGGGUAAAAAGAUAUUUGGAGGAGCAGCCUGGAGACCUGCUCCUACUUUUCAGAGCUAAAAAUAGCGUUUUGCAGGAGUGGGCUUUGAGCCGCCCCUGCAAAUAUAUGAAAAUGCAUUUUAAGAGUUUAGAGACCUGGAUAAUAUCUCAAGAUAAGUUCACGAACUGCCCGUGUAUUUUACUUUUUGAUAAUAUAGGAGCAAUACGACAUCCUCUCACCAUGCGACAUCCUCUCACCAUGCAAGGAAAGUUGGUCA